rnacentral:rRNA from 1 species
GACGAACGCUGGCGGCGUGCUUAACACAUGCGAGUCGAACGGAAAGGCCCUGCUUUUGUUUGGUGCUCGAGUGGCGAACGCGUGAGUAACACGUGAGUAACCUGCCCCUGAAAUUGUGGUAACUUUAGGAAACUGGGGCUAAUACCCCGUAGGAGCUCCUGCUGCAUGGUGUUGGAUAGAAAGAUUCGGUGGUUGUGGCUGGUUUCGCAGCUUCUCAGCUUCUUUGUGGGGUAGUGGCGUACCAAGGUUUUGACGGGUACCCGGCCUCGGAGGGUGACCGCGCACAAUGCGACCGAGGUAAGGCCCAGUAGGCUACGGGAGGCAGCAGUCGGGAGUCUGACGGAAUGGGGGGAAGCCAGGAGGAGAAAGCUCGCGUGCGGGAUAACGGCCUUUGGGUUGUAAACCGCUUUCGCCUGUGACGAAGCGUGAGUGACGGUAAUGGGUAAGGAAGCACCGGCUAACUACGUG